rnacentral:rRNA from 1 species
UACGUAGGGGGCAAGCGUUUGUCCGGAUUUAUUGGGCGUAAAGAGCGUGUAGGCGGUUUGGUAGGUCCGCUGUGAAAACUCGAGGCUCAACCUCGAGACGCCGGUGGAAACCAUCAGACUAGAGUCCGGAAGAGGAGAGUGGAAUUCCUGGUGUAGCGGUGAAAUGCGCAGAUAUCAGGAAGAACACCCGUGGCUAAGGCGGCUCUCUAGUACGGUACCGACGCUGAGACGCGAAAGCGUGGGGAGCGAACAGG